GAAGUGGGAGAGGCUGAACACUGUCGAGCUCUUCCAGGAGAGACCAGGACAGGAGCGAGACCAUGCAUUUACUGACAGCCUCCUGCAGCUGCCGAGAGCUUGGGAUGCUGCCUCCUCCCAUGGGCAUCGGUGCUCCAGCAUGCGCUCUCCUCUCCCGGCAUCUCCUGAACCCAGCUGAAAUAGAUUACAGCCAAAGAUUUAAUGAUUCAGCGUUUCUGUUGCCGCUGA